CAAUAUCAAUUUUUAAAAAAUUCCUCUACAUGCUCAGAAAUUUCAUUUAAUUAACCAAAAACCAAAGUCAAUCUUCACGUUGCAAAGAAUAAAUUUUCCUUGUAACAAUAUAUGUUUAUCGAUAAAUGCAAACGAAACAAGGAAUUCGUUCAAAUGACGAAAUAAGAAUAAAGAACACGAAAGAAGAUACUCGUCCAAUUACGAUGAUAAAAAUCGACGCGCCAUCUGCGAGCCAUCGUGAAACAGGACAACGCGGCCUCCUCUUUGUAGAAACAAAAAUCGGUUGUACUCUGCGCAACGAACAACAGACGCUUAAAUAAAUACCCGUGCCUGAAAAGAGAGCGAGAGUUUGUUCUAAGUUGUAAAUGUAAAAAACGAACGAAAACGAAAAAGAGCAAAGCAAACGGGGUGGUGUGCGUGUGCGUGUGUGUGUGUGUGUGUGUGUGUGUGUGUGUGUGUGUGUGUGUGUGUGUGUGUGUGAAAGAGAGAACAGUAAAAAAUCUGUCGAGUACUAGAAUGGAGAAAGGAGCAGAAGAAACUUGUCCAAUUAUGAUGACGAGUAUCGGUGUCGGCGUUCGGGCAUUCUCAUCCUUGGGCACAACGAAAUGGUCGGCAAAGGGGUAAAGAGAGGGGCUGUUGCUCUGGUACCUUCCGCCUCCACGUUCGUCUCUCCAGCGGGCAACGAGCGAACGGCCAUGAGUGUAGAAAGGCAGGAAGGGAAGGAGGAAAGGGAGAAGGAGAAGAGGAGAGGCGACUACUUAAAGUUGGCGGAAAGUUUGGUUCGGCAGCAAAGUUAACUCAGUUAAGUUCUCCGCUCCUAAAGCGAAACUUCGGUUCUCCAACGCCUGCCCUGCCAGCCUGGUUGCCUGCCUGCCUCUGCCUGGCUUGCUCUCCAUCCUCUCUCCUCUCUCCUUUUCCUGCCGUGUGCCUUCUCCCUUUCUCUGUCUCUCCCUUCGUCUCGCGCCCGUGCUUCCUACUGUCUUGGCCAUUCUUCCUUCCUUCCUUCUAUAUCCAUUCCUACGGUGCUGCUCCACGAAUAAGCAAUGUGUUUUGGAAUUAUCAUUUUCCCGCAAACUUUCGUCACGAUGUUUCGCCGUGACGAUCGAUUGACAUCGACCCGCGCGCGACCGGUGUCACUCUCGUUUGCCUUCUGUGCUACUCUCUCUCUCUCUCUCUCCGUGCACCGGUCGCGUCAAUCUGCGGCCUAACCAUUUAGGCCCAGACCCAGGCCAUCCAUUUUGCAGCUGGAACGAGACGUUUUCACGUAUGUACACGCGGAUGCGGAUACGAGGGGCAAGACUUCUUUUUUCAGAGCUUAUAUUCCCUCGAGCUGAAGAAAGAUGUUUCUCCCACUUCCCUGAGAACUCUGCCCCCUCCCGCGGCCAGAGUGGCAGGCAACGAUCGAAAUUCCAAGACGAAGUUUACGAGAUUCCAAGGAAAGCGCGAGUUUCGCUUGCGUUCAUCGUUGCCUUUCUUCGCGUACGUACGUGUAUAGGAGCUUGUAAGCAUCGUUUUGUAACAGACACCAGUCAGCAUCAACCGCGUACUGUCCCUCCUUUGAUGGUACGCCAGAGCAAAAAAGAAACCGGUCGAGUCGGUACUUACGAAGAGGUUUAGCUUUCAGGGUUCAUGUAUGUAUGUACAUAGUUUGAAAAGAAGUUACGACCGUUCUCCUGGCCAAACGGAGGGAAAGAACUUUCCUGCGCCAAUAAUUUUUUGGAGCAAAAAAUUAUUCAGACGUGGAAAACAAGCAGUUUCGUAUUUAGGCGUUUUAACUAAAUUGUAAAUGAUUUCGACGUUACGCAAACGUUAUUUCCUGGUACUUCUUGCACUACUGAACUAACAUUAUCAGCAAAAUUUUACCAAUCGCGACUUGCAAGUUAUCAAUGCUCUCACUAAUAAAUUCUCUUGGAUAACAAGUCUAAUAAAAUAGUAAAACAAGCAAAAUUCUACAAACGAACUUAGCAAAUUAUUCGACAUAGAAUUGUAAAAAUUGUUUGUGCAGUGAAAGCUUGUAACAAACAACUCAUUACUUGUCAAUAUACUAAUAUUAACAAUUAGUAGUUUAUUAGUAUUAUUAACUAGUAAAUUAUAUCGAUCUUUGACAUUACAUAUAUUAAGUAUAUCAUUACUAAAUUAUUGUAAUAGCAAGAGAAGGCACUUGCUAUUCAUUUGAAUGUAGAAUGCGAAAUUAUUAGAGAACGCUAUACAAUUGUACGCUAUUACAUGGAUUAAAAUUUCUUUUAUCUUUUUAA